rnacentral:rRNA from 1 species
GUAGGGAAUAUUGGUCAAUGGACGAAAGUCUGAACCAGCCAUUCCGCGUGCAGGAAGAAGAUUCUAUGGAUUGUAAACUGCUUUUAGCAGAGAAGAAACGCCUUCAUUGAUGAGGGUUUGACGGUAUCUGCGGAAUAAGCACCGGCUAACUCCGUGCCAGCAGCCGCGGUAAUACGGGGGGUGCAAGCGUUAUCCGGAAUCACUGGGUUUAAAGGGUGCGUAGGCGGGAAAUUAAGUCAGUGGUGAAAGCCUGUUGCUUAACGAUAGAAUUGCCGUUGAUACUGAUUUUCUUGAAUUGGGUUGAGGUUAGCGGAAUGUGACAUGUAGCGGUGAAAUGCAUAGAUAUGUCAUGGAACACCAAUUGCGAAGGCAGCUAGCUGGGCCUUGAUUGACGCUGAGGCACGAAAGCGUGGGUAGCGAACAGGAUUAGAUACCCUAGUAGUCC